GCUCAGCAUUGCUGAGAAGAGUAAAUAAAAUGAUCCAGGUAUAGCAUUUAGAACAGUGCUUGGCUCAUAAGAAGAACUCAGUAACAAUGAGCUGUCAUUACUAUGAUAAAUCAGUAAAAAUCUAUUGAAUAUCUAACAGGAGAUAGGGUAGAGUUUCAGGUUUCAGCCUCUGAGCCUCACGUGGAAUUGACUUCUUGGUGACAUGAGGCAGUACUUGGACCUUGCUGUGACCCUCUAGGGACGCUAAAGGAAGCUUAAGAAAGAAGCGUGUGGGUUCAGACAAUGCUUUCUGGCCGGUGAGGAAUGAAACCACAAGGAUUAGGAGGGCAUCUAAUCGGACGGACGAUGGUGUGGAGAUGAGCGUGGAGCUUGCCCCUUGAGACCAGAGGCUCCAUGAACCCUGCACAGACCA